rnacentral:rRNA from 1 species
AUUGAACGCUGGCGGCAGGCUUAACACAUGCAAGUCGAGCGGGGUGAUGGUGCUUGCACUAUCACUUAGCGGCGGACGGGUGGGUAAGGUUUAGGAAUCUGCCUAUUAGUGGGGGACACCAUCUCGAACGGGAUGCUAAUACCCAAUACGUCCGAGGGAAGAAAGCAGGGGUUCACUUUUGACAUGGCGCUAAUAGAUGAGCCAAAGUCGGAUUAGCUAGUUGGUGGGGUAAAGGCCUACCAAGGCGACGAUCUGUAGCGGGUUUGAGAGGAUGAUCCGCCACACUGGGACUGAGACACGGCCCAGACUCCUACGGGAGGCAGCAGUGGGGAAUAUUGGACAAUGGGGGGAACCCUGAUCCAGCCAUGCCGCGUGUGUGAAGAAGGCCUUAUGGUUGUAAAGCACUUUAAGCGAGGAGGAGGCUCUUUUGGUUAAUACCCAAGAUAAGUGGACGUUACUCGCAGAAUAAGCACCGGCUAACUCUGUGCCAGCCGCCGCGGUAA